UUUGUCUCGUCGUCCCUGACCUCACUAUGUUCUUCGUUUUCGAAGAGGAGCUCCAGAGAGUGAGAAUCGAAGGAGAGAAGGAAUUCUGGGUUCACCGGUGAGAUUCCGAUUCCGACGACGACUGCGAGCGUGAUUGGUACUGAUAGCUUCAUCUCAACCUCGUGAUCCUUCCUAUAGUCUCGAUUACGUUGUUGGAGCUUUGACGAGAGAAUCGAAGAAGGAAAGCUUUUGAGUUUUCCGGUGAGGGUUCGAAGUUUUCCGGCGAAGCUGGGUUCGACUCAGUGGAGGACCACCGUGAAGCUACUGUUUUCGGCGGCGGAAGUGGCGGAUGUUAGAUUGAUUGUUGGCAGCGGUGAUUAAGGACUUUUGGGUUGCUUCAUUAUGGAUGCAUGAACAGAGCAGGGGAUUGCUGUACAAUCUACACCCAGAGUUAAUGCUGAGUCUGGGGUAUCAAUGUGUUCACCAGUGAAUCUAUUUAAGGUGAAGGACUCCAGUUACCCGAAACAAUAAAGAUGGUGGUGUUGGCCUAGGAAAACCUAAUGGAAUCAAGCAGCAAUAUUCCAGGUAGGGGAUUCUGGACUUGCCUCAGUUAGUGUUUUAUGCAUAUGAUAUUAAAGUAAAGUGAUUUAUGCAUGAAAGAUAUAUUUUUCGAUUUCUCGUGAAUUAUUGUUUGAUGACCUGAGAGUGAGUGGGGCAUAAUGACUUCUUUGGGUUUCGAUCCCCUAAACCUCCGGAGGGGCUGUACUGACUGGAGGACGUUUAACAUCCUUUGAGGUGUGGCGUCGCUCCUAGGCGGUAUGACGUAAAUGGACACUCUUGCUACACCUUGCCGGUGUAUACGAUAAUAAUCAUGGUAAGGUGGUAGUUGGCUUGCGAUAGAUCAGUCAUCAGGUUUGUAUAUCUAUUUCGGGCCCUACUAGCAUUUUUACAAGAAAUGGUUAUUUUAAACUGUUACGCAUUAUUUUCACUACCUAGCCUUGACAAAUGUUUUAAAUUGUUUUCACACCUAGUUGGGGUAAAGUUUAUUGAGCAACGAGGAUGAGAGCUCACCCUUACAACAGUUUAU